AUGGAAACUAAAAAAGGUGACUACAAGAGAGUGAUGACAACAGCUAGGAGGGGAAACGGGGUGGCUAAUGGGAGCGUGUGGGGUGGGAGAGACCUGUGUGAUUGUGGAGGCAGACAGGGAAUUGCAGGGGAGAGGGUAAUGACAAAGAAAAGAACAGUUCUGUGUGGGAAUACAGCCUUGAAGCUGUGCUCACUCUGGGAAUUCCUCUGGGGGCAGCAGGCUUCGUUCUGGUUUAGAUCCGGCAAGCUGAAGAGAGAGCUUCUGCCUGGUGCCCCACGGCAUACACUUGCUGCUUUGGUGGCGGGAGCUGGCGCCGUUGCAGCCUGGAUAGAGGCACCUCGUAAAUUCGUCCAUCCCGAGAAAUUCGUGGAUAGCUCACCUUGUUUUCGUGGAUCCUACACAAGCAAAGCUGGUAACGUCGCUGAUGGUUUUUGAAAUGGCCACGAUAUGCCCAAAGAAUUGCAAUUUCAAUUCAUAUCAACUUUUCACAAAUCCACAUUGCGAUAUAAACCUUAUAGGAAAGCAGGCACAACACUUUAAAAAAAUGUGAGUGAAAUGAGACGACAUUAAGGACAGCGUCACUAUGGAGUCGGUCGUCUGAGUGAGUUGAGGGUGCCGGGCAGCCUGAGAG
rnacentral:lncRNA from 1 species